ensembl:rRNA 5S_rRNA 5S ribosomal RNA
GCUUACGGCCAUACCACCCUGAGAACGCCCGAUCUCGUCUGAUCUCGGAAGCUAAGCAGGGUCGGGCCUGGUUAGUACUUGGAUGGGAGACCGCCUCGGAAUACCAAAUGCUGUAAGCU